UACGGAGGAUGCGAGCGUUAUCCGGAUUUAUUGGGUUUAAAGGGUGCGCAGGCGGCGUGUCAAGUCAGCGGUAAAAUGUCGGGGCUCAACCCCGGCCGGCCGUUGAAACUGGCGUGCUCGAGUUGGAGAGAAGUAUGCGGAAUUCGUGGUAUAGCGGUGAAAUGCAUAGAUAUCACGAAGAACCCCGAUUGCGAAGGCAGCAUACCGGCUCCACACUGACGCUGAGGCACGAAAGCGUGGGUAUCGAACAGG
rnacentral:rRNA from 1 species